rnacentral:rRNA from 1 species
CACGUAGUUAGCCGGUGCUUAUUCUUACGGUACCGUCAUGGACCCCAGGUAUUAACCAGAGUCUUUUCGUUCCGUACAAAAGCAGUUUACAACCCGAAGGCCUUCAUCCUGCACGCGGCAUGGCUGGAUCAGGCUUUCGCCCAUUGUCCAAAAUUCCCCACUGCUGCCUCCCGUAGGAGUCUGGGCCGUGUCUCAGUCCCAGUGUGGCUGGUCGUCCUCUCAGACCAGCUACAGAUCGUCGGCUUGGUAAGCUUUUAUCCCACCAACUACCUAAUCUGCCAUCGGCCGCUCCGUUCGCGCAAGGCCUUGCGGUCCCCUGCUUUCAUCCGUAGAUCGUAUGCGGUAUUAGCAAAGCUUUCGCUUCGUUAUCCCCCACGAUCGGGCACGUUCCGAUGUAUUACUCACCCGUUCGCCACUCGUCAGCAUCCGAAGACCUGUUACCGUUCGACUUGCAUGUGUAAGGCAUGCCGCCAGCGUUCAAUCUGAGCCAGGAUCAAACUCU